AAGGUGCCGGGGCUUCUCCCGUUUUUCCUUGGCGGGAGAAG
rnacentral:tRNA from 1 species